rnacentral:rRNA from 1 species
CAAAAACAUAGUUUAUGUGAACUACACAUAGUCAUUUCUGCUCAAUGAGGACUUAAAUAGCCGCAGUACCCUGACUGUGCAAAGGUAGCGUAAUCAUUUGUCUUUUAAUUAAAGUCUUGUAUCAACGAACAUAUGGGGACCCACUUUACCAGUGAUAACACGUGAACUUACUAAAAGGGUGCAAAAACCCUUAUUACUUAAUAGACGAGGAGACCCUAGAAAUUUUAACAAACGUUUUUGUUGGGGCAACAUGGUAACAACUAAACUUACUUUAUAUACACAAGAAACUGAUUUGACAGAAAAAAUUACUUUAGGGAUAACAGCAUAAUGUAUAAACGUUUGUGACCUCGAUGUUGGAUUAGGAAGUCAUAGCUUAAAAGGCGUUUGAUUUCGCUCUGUUCGAGCG